AUGGAGGCUAGGAUUGCUGACUUUGGCUUGUCCAAGGCCUUCAGCAAUGACAAUGAAACCCACGUAUCCAUGAACACAUUUGUUGGCACACCCGGAUAUGUUAAUCCAGAGUACCAGGCGACGAUGCAGCCAACAGCAAAGAGUGACGUGUAUAGCUUUGGUGUCGUACUGCUGGAGCUAGUUACAGGAAAGCCGGCUAUCCUACAGGUUGCGGUGCCCGUCAACAUAAUCCAGUGGGUGCGCCAGCGACUAGCGCGGGCCAACAUUGAGGGUGUGGUGGACGAACGCAUGCGUGGUGGUUACGAUGUCAACGGGGUGUGGAAGGUUGCGGACAUCGCACUCAAGUGCACUGCACAAGCCUCGGUGCAGCGUCCCACCAUGACCGACGUGGUGGCACAAUUGCAGGAAUGUGUCGAGCUAGAGAAUGGGCGUGUUGGAGGCAACACAAACAACGGCUUCCACAUCGGUAGCAGCGGUGAUGACCCGAACUUGAGUUAUGAUGCCUACACCACUGGUCCUGCUGAACGUUGA
rnacentral:rRNA from 1 species